UACAGAGGGGGCAAGCGUUGUUCGGAAUUACUGGGCGUAAAGGGCGCGUAGGCGGCCUGUUAAGUCGAACGUGAAAUCCCCGGGCUCAACCCGGGAACUGCGUCCGAUACUGGCAGGCUUGAAUCCGGGAGAGGGAUGCGGAAUUCCAGGUGUAGCGGUGAAAUGCGUAGAUAUCUGGAGGAACACCGGUGGCGAAGGCGGCAUCCUGGACCGGCAUGACGCUGAGGCGCGAAAGCCAGGGGGAGCAAA
rnacentral:rRNA from 1 species